CCUACGGGAGGCAGCAGUGGGGAAUAUUGCGCAAUGGGCGAAAGCCUGACGCAGCGACGCCGCGUGAGGGAUGAAGGUCUUCGGAUUGUAAACCUCUGUCAGCAGGGAAGAACGGUCACUGUCCUAUCCACCAGUGAAUUGACGGUACCCGCAAAGGAAGCACCGGCUCACUCCGUGCCAGCAGCCGCGGUAAUACGUAGGGUGCGAGCGUUAAUCGGAAUUACUGGGCGUAAAGCGCUCGUAGGCGGUAGGUCAAGUCAAGGGUGAAAUCCCCGCGCUCAACGUGGGAACUGCCUUUGUAACUGGCAGACUGGAGUGUGUGAGAGGUUAGUGGAAUUCCAGGUGUAGGAGUGAAAUGCGUAGAUAUCUGGAAGAACAUCGAUGGCGAAGGCGGCUUUCUGGCACAUAACUGACGCUGAGGAACGAAAGCGUGGGUAGCAAACAGGAUUAGAUACCCUAGUAGUC
rnacentral:rRNA from 1 species